AGCGAACGCUGGCGGCAGGCCUAACACAUGCAAGUCGAACGAACCUUUCGGGGUUAGUGGCGGACGGGUGAGUAACACGUGGGAACGUGCCUUUAGGUUCGGAAUAACUCAGGGAAACUUGUGCUAAUACCGAAUGUGCCCUUCGGGGGAAAGAUUAAUCGCCUUUAGAGCGGCCCGCGUCUGAUUAGCUGGUUGGUUGAGGUAAUGGCUCACCAAGGCGACGAUCAGUAGCUGGUCUGAGAGGAUGAUCAGCCACAUUGGGACUGAGACACGGCCCAAACUCCUACGGGAGGCAGCAGUGGGGAAUCUUGCGCAAUGGGCGAAAGCCUGACGCAGCCAUGCCGCGUGAAUGAUGAAGGUCUUAGGAUUGUAAAAUUCUUUCACCGGGGACGAUAAUGACGGUACCCGGAGAAGAAGCCCCGGCUAACUUCGUG
rnacentral:rRNA from 1 species